AGGAAUAUUGGUCAAUGGCCGCAGGGCUGAACCAGCCAAGUCGCGUGAGGGAUGACGGUCCUAUGGAUUGUAAACCUCUUUUGUCAGGGAGCAAAGGGCGCCACGUGUGGCGUUUUGCGAGUACCUGAAGAAAAAGCAUCGGCUAACUCCGUGCCAGCAGCCGCGGUAAUACGGAGGAUGCGAGCGUUAUCCGGAUUUAUUGGGUUUAAAGGGUGCGCAGGCGGAAUGUCAAGUCAGCGGUAAAAUUUCGGGGCUCAACCCCGUCGUGCCGUUGAAACUGGCGUUCUUGAGUGAGCGAGAAGUAUGCGGAAUGCGUGGUGUAGCGGUGAAAUGCAUAGAUAUCACGCAGAACUCCGAUUGCGAAGGCAGCAUACCGGCGCUCAACUGACGCUCAUGCACGAAAGCGUGGGUAUCGAACAGGAUUAGAUACCCUGGUAGUCCACGCAGUAAACGAUGAAUACUAACUGUCCGGGCCGAAUGAGGUCUGGGUGGUACAGCGAAAGCGUUAAGUAUUCCACCUGGGGAGUACGCCGGCAACGGUGAAACUCAAAGGAAUUGACGGGGGCCCGCACAAGCGGAGGAACAUGUGGUUUAAUUCGAUGAUACGCGAGGAACCUUACCCGGGCUCAAACGACGGAUGAAUGUUUUUGAAAGGAGGCAGUCCUACGGGACAUCCGUCGAGGUGCUGCAUGGUUGUCGUCAGCUCGUGCCGUGAGGUGUCGGCUUAAGUGCCAUAACGAGCGCAACCCCCAUCGCCAGUUACCAGCAAGUAAAGUUGGGGACUCUGGCGAGACUGCCGGCGCAAGCUGCGAGGAAGGCGGGGAUGACGUCAAAUCAGCACGGCCCUUACGUCCGGGGCGACACACGUGUUACAAUGGCAGGCACAGAGAGAAGCGACAUGGCGACAUGAAGCGGAACUGUCAAAACCUGUCUCAGUUCGGAUUGGAGUCUGCAACCCGACUCCAUGAAGCUGGAUUCGCUAGUAAUCGCGCAUCAGCCACGGCGCGGUGAAUACGUUCCCG
rnacentral:rRNA from 1 species